rnacentral:rRNA from 1 species
GAUGAACGCUGGCGGCGUGCCUAAUACAUGCAAGUCGAGCGAACGGACGAGAAGCUUGCUUCUCUGAUGUUAGCGGCGGACGGGUGAGUAACACGUGUAUAACCUACCUAUAAGACUGGGAUAACUUCGGGAAACCGGAGCUAAUACCGGAUAAUAUUUUGAACCGCAUGGUUCAAAAGUGAAAGACGGUCUUGCUGUCACUUAUAGAUGGAUCCGCGCUGCAUUAGCUAGUUGGUAAGGUAACGGCUUACCAAGGCAACGAUGCAUAGCCGACCUGAGAGGGUGAUCGGCCACACUGGAACUGAGACACGGUCCAGACUCCUACGGGAGGCAGCAGUAGGGAAUCUUCCGCAAUGGGCGAAAGCCUGACGGAGCAACGCCGCGUGAGUGAUGAAGGUCUUCGGAUCGUAAAACUCUGUUAUUAGGGAAGAACAGAUGUGUAAGUAACUGUGCACAUCUUGACGGUACCUAAUCAGAAAGCCACGGCUAACUACGUG